rnacentral:snRNA from 1 species
UCUUUAGCAUAUAUAUAAUGUACUAGAAUUGUAAAGAUACACCAAAGAAUAGUAUGGUUCCUGCACAAGGAUGACUUGCUAAUUCAGGAAAUAUUCCAUAUACAA